CGGGGUUUCACCGUGUUAGCCAUGGUGGUCCCGAUCUCCUGACCUUGUGAUCCACCUGCCUUGGCCUCCCAGAGUGCUGGGAUUACAGGCGUGAGCCACCGCGCCCAGCCCAAACGGUCUUACACCUAGAAGGUACCAAAGGUGCAGAGGGACUUUCCCAGUUGUCUCCUCAACUGCUUUAGCAUGAAAACAGAAAAUGGUCUCGUCUCUGUGCACCUGUGCCACCUCAAUCAUACACAUCACACGUGCUCUUGAUAUGUCUAGUUCGGUAGUUCUGAAAGUGUGUGGUCUUCGGACCAGCAGCACCUGGAAACUUGUCAGAAAUGCAAAUUAUCGGGCCCACUGCCUGCCCACUGAAUCAGAAACUCCGGGGGUGGAGCCCAGCGAUCUGUGUUUUGAUAAGCACUCCAGGCGACUCCAGUGUACCUUGGGGUUUCAGAACCCAUGGUCUGUCUCAUGGCUCUCCAGAGAGUCUGUGAACUCCUGGAAGGCAGAGCCUGUGUCCUUGCAGUUUUUGUUUCCCUAGCAUCAAGACUUGAACACAGUGGAUAUUAAUAAAUAUUUCUAAAACUGAACCACAGGAGUGAAUAUGGCUCGGCAGAAAACCAACAUCCCAUUAUCCUACUCUUUUCAUAUGAUGAUUAAUACUUUUAGGUUUACUUUAUGUAACGGAUUGAAUUGUGUCCCCCAAAAUUCAUGUAAAAGUCCUAACUCCCUAGUACCUCAGAAAAUAUAACUGUAUUUGGAGAUAGGGCCUUUAAGAAGUAAUUAGGGUAAAAUGAGGUCAUAUGUGUAGACCCUAAUGCAAUAUGACUGGUAUCCUUAUAAGAAGAGGAGAUGAGGCUGGGUGUGGUGGAUUAUGCCUGUAAUCCCAGCACUUUGGGAGGCCAAGACGGGCGGAUCACGUGAGGACAGGGGUUCGAGACCAGCCUGGCCAACAUGGUAAAAGCCCAUCUUUACUAAAAAUACAAAAAAAUUAGCUGGAUGUUGUGGUGGGCACCUAUAAUCCCAGCUACUUGGGAGGCUGAGGCAGGAGAAUCACUUGAACCCAGGAGGCAGAGGUUGCAGUGAGCCGAGAUCACACCACUACACUCCAGCCUGGGCGACAGAGCAAGACUCUGUCUAAAAAAAAAAAAAAAAAAAAAAAAAAAUUGCUUGAGGCCAGGAGUUCAAGACCAUCCUGGGGAACAUAGUGAGACCCCGGUCUCUACCAAAAAAUAGAUAUUUUUUAAAAUAACCAGGCAUGGUGGUAUGCACCUGUAGUCCCAGCUACUCAGGAGGCUGAAGUGGGAGGAUUGCUUGAGCCUAGGAGUUCGAGAGUGUAGUGAGUCAUGAUUGUACCACCGCACUCCAGCCUGGGAUAGAGUAAGACCCUGUCUCCAACAACAAUAACAAAGGGGAAAAAAAAAAAAAAGAAAAUACAGGGAGGAGAAGACAGCCAUCUGCAGUCAAAUGCUCUACCCCUGAGAAGACACCUGUCUACAAGCCCAGGAGAGUGGCUUCAAAAGAAACUGACCCUACAGACAUCAGGACCUUGGACUUCUAAUCUCCAGAAUUGGAUCAAAAUUUAAUUUCUGUUGUUUAAGGCAUCCAGAUUGUGUAGUCCUUUGUUAUGACAGCUCUAGCAGACUAAUACACUUUAUGAAAAAUUUUACACCAGGCACAGUGGCUCACACCUGUAAUCCCAGCACUUUGGGAGGCCAAGACAGGUAGAUCGCUUGAGCCCAGGAGUUCAAGGCCAGCCUGGGCAACAUGGUAAAACCCUGUCUCUAUAAAAAAAUACAAAAAUUAGCCAGGCUGAUGGCACAUACCUAUAGUCCUAGCUACUCUGGAAGCUGAGAAGGGAGGAUCACUUGAGCCCAGGAGGUGGAAUUUGCAGGGAGCUGAGAUUGUGCCACUGUACUCCAGCAUGGACAACAGAGCAAGAUUCUCUGUUUUUCACUUUUUUUUUUUUUAAGACAGAUUCUCAGUCUGUCGCCCAAGCUGGGGUG
rnacentral:lncRNA from 1 species